rnacentral:rRNA from 1 species
AUUGAACGCUGGCGGCAUGCUUUACACAUGCAAGUCGAACGGCAGCGCGGGCUUCGGCCUGGCGGCGAGUGGCGAACGGGUGAGUAAUGCAUCGGAACGUGCCCAGUAGUGGGGGAUAGCCCGGCGAAAGCCGGAUUAAUACCGCAUACGACCUGAGGGUGAAAGCGGGGGACCGAAAGGCCUCGCGCUAUUGGAGCGGCCGAUGGCGGAUUAGCUAGUUGGUGGGGUAAAGGCUUACCAAGGCGACGAUCCGUAGCUGGUCUGAGAGGACGACCAGCCACACUGGGACUGAGACACGGCCCAGACUCCUACGGGAGGCAGCAGUGGGGAAUUUUGGACAAUGGGGGCAACCCUGAUCCAGCCAUGCCGCGUGCGGGAAGAAGGCCUUCGGGUUGUAAACCGCUUUUGUUCGGGAAGAAAUCCUCUGGGCUAAUACCCCGGGGGGAUGACGGUACCGGAAGAAUAAGCACCGGCUAACUACGUG